GGGCAGGAUAGUCUAGUGGUUAGGGUGUUUCGACUCCCACCCGAAUGAUUCUGGGUUCGAACCCCAAAUGUCUGCGGUCUA